UACGUAGGGGGCAAGCGUUGUCCGGAAUCAUUGGGCGUAAAGAGCGUGUAGGCGGCUUCGUCAGUCCGUUGUGAAAGUCCAGGGCUCAACCCUGGAAUGCCGAUGGAUACUGCGGAGCUAGAGUACGGAAGAGGCGAGUGGAAUUCCUGGUGUAGCGGUGGAAUGCGCAGAUAUCAGGAGGAACACCUAUGGCGAAGGCAGCUCGCUGGGACGUUACUGACGCUGAGGCACGAAAGCGUGGGGAUCAAACAGG
rnacentral:rRNA from 1 species